UCAAUCGACCUUGGCUCGGGAUGCUCCAGCUUGAGGUGCCAGGCUCGCUUUCGAGCUCGGCUCAUUGACCCCUUCCGGCUCACCUCCUCCCCUCUGUUUCUCCCUUCUCUCGGACUCUCCUUUGCUCUUCCUUCCCUGGCGGCGACGACUGGGCGAGCGGCGGCGCCAUUUAUCACGUCUUCGCCCAGCCCUUUCCCGGCGACGAGCAUCCUCAAGGGUUUACUGUUCAGUAAUAGGCUAGCAGCUCUACUACUACUAGGAAGCUGACAACCGUUUUCCGAAGAUCUUUGAAGUUGGUGUUGGGUGGCAUUUUACUGAUCUGGGUGAUAGCAUGAUAAAGCAAUUCCUUGGACGGCUCCCUAAGAAGCCGUCCAAAUCUGGAGAUAAGGAUCCUAGUGGCAGGUCCAGCCCCUCAGUUUCACACCUGCCAUUGGGUCCAAGAGCUGGAGACAGGGCGUCCAAUUUGAGUAGCCAGCCACCUGUUAUCUCCAGCUCUGGGCUCAGUUAUGGGAGUGGCAUGCAUGUCGGCAAUGCAAACUCGAGGGUGAACAUGAAUGGCGAUUCAGUCACAUCAGCCUUUGUGUCCUUACCAAGUUUUAAGGAUGUGCCCAACACAGAGAAACAGAGCUUGUUCAUCAAGAAGUUGAACUUGUGCUGCACCCAAUUCGACUUCACCGAUCCAACAAAACACAUAAAGGAGAAGGAAAUAAAGAGGCAGAAUUUGGUGGAGCUCGUUGACUAUAUUGGCUCAGCCAGUGGUAAAUUUUCUGAGGCAAGCAUGCAGGAGAUCACAAAAAUGGUUUCUGCAAACCUGUUCAGGACACUGAGUACCCCACCCAGAGAGAGCAAAGUCGAUGGAUUUGAUGUGGAUGAGGAGGAGCCUGUCAUGGACCCUGCAUGGUCACACUUGCAGAUUGUUUAUGAGUUGUUCCUGAGGUUCAUUCAGUCUCCAGAGACUGACGCCAAGUUGGCUAAAAGAUACAUCGAUCAUUCCUUUGUUCUGAGGCUACUUGACCUCUUUGAUUCUGAAGACCCUAGAGAAAGAGAGUACCUAAAGAUGAUCCUUCACCGUGUCUAUGGAAAGUUCAUGGUUCAUCGGCCAUAUAUUAGGAAAGCCAUCAACAACAUCUUCUAUCAGUUUAUCUAUGAAACUGAAAAGCACAAUGGAAUUGCAGAGCUAUUGGAGAUUUUGGGAAGUAUCAUAAAUGGAUUUGCAUUGCCUCUUAAGGAAGAGCAUAAAUUGUUCCUUGUUCGAGCUUUAAUUCCACUUCACAAGCCAAAGUGCAUUGCGAUGUAUCAUCAGCAGUUGUCUUACUGCAUCACCCAGUUUGUUGAAAAGGAUUGCAAACUUGCAGACACAGUUAUCAGAGGCCUAUUGAAAUAUUGGCCCAUCACAAACAGCUCCAAGGAGGUGAUGUUUUUGGGAGAGUUGGAAGAGAUAUUGGAAGCUACGCAACCUGCAGAGUUCCAGAAAUGCAUGGUCCCUCUUUUCCGCCAGAUUGCACGGUGCCUGAAUAGCUCACACUUUCAGGUAGUGUUUGUUCAAAGUGCUCCUUUCAUCAUGAAUACUAAUUUGUGUCCUGUUAUUUCCCAAUUCUUCCGUAUCGUAAUCUUCUUCUUCUUCAUGUCUUUUCAAAGUUGAUAGAAGGCAUGAGCUGUACAAUGAGAAUCACUUCUUUUCUAUUAUGUUUCUAUUCAAGGCAUGUUACUGUAGAUAUAAAAAUAUAUGCAAUAUGUUGUUCCUUUGAGGAUCUGGAAUAAGACAGCCACAGGGGAUCUAGGAUAUGACAGCUUAGUAUUGUAAGUGGCACAUGAUAGUUUUCUGCUCAGUUAUUAUUGUAGUUCUCUGUACCUGUAUAUUUUAGUUUACUUUUUGAGGCAUUUUAUUCUAUUGUGUGUUUUCAAAAGCAAUUUACAAUUUUUUGCUAAUACCACCCUAAUUGAUUGCUUGUUAAAGGUCAUUUUGUAUGGUUAGUUGGAUGAGUGCUUGUCUGGUUGAGCAGCUUCUGGCUGCUGGGAGUGACUAUUUUGUAAACACAGUGACUUGUGUCCACCAUGGGAUGGGAAUUCUCAAUAACCAUCCGGUACCUAAACCCUAAAAUGCAUUUUCAUUGAUUGAUUCCUUCAAAUUACAUAUGUUCCAAUGUACCUUGGCAGUUGGCAAUAGCUGGCAUCUUGUGUGAUUCAAAUAGAUAGUAGAGUUCAGAGUACUGGGAUAUCCUAUCUUGUUGAUAAAUGAGCUUUCAAGAACAGAAUUGUAUAGAGUUUCAGUUCCGUUACCUGAAUGGUUGUUCGAAAAAAAAAAUUCUGUUACCUGAAUUAUAGUACAUCUGAAUCCAUAUUUAAGGUGUAAUUUGUCACGGUGAUUUAUAAGGGAGAAAAUGAAUGGUUGCUUCUUUUUAUCCUACAUUCGAAAAUAAUAAUUCUUUAUCCAUGAUCCUUGGUUUAUUUGACCUAUGCACGAAAAUGCUGUGGAUUUUCAGAACAGAAUAUUGUGAGGGUGACCCUUCAUCACAUAUCAAAUCCACAAUUGUGUUCUGGAGCAUUAGACAUCGAAAAUAACUUUUUUUUUUGCAUGACUGUACAUGAAGGCCUAUUGAUAUUGCAGAUGGAGAAUAUAUAAUUAAUUGCCAAAUGGUUACUAAUGGCGCUUAUUCUGGUUCAGGUUGCUGAGCGAGUGUUAUUUUUGUGGAACAACGACCAUAUUGAGAGUUUGAUCAAACAAAAUAGUAGGGUUAUAGUGCCUAUCAUCUUUCCUGCACUGGAGAGAAAUACCAACGGGCACUGGAACCAAGCUGUUCGAAGCCUCACUCUAAAUGUUCGAAAACUUUUCUCCGACCAUGAUUCUGGUCUAUUCACGGAGUGUAUGCGGAAAUAUGAGGAAGAGAAAGCCAAAGAGAAGGAGGUUAAGUCGAAGCAAGAGACCACAUGGAAAAGACUUGAAGAGAUUGCAUCAGCAAAAGCAACAAGUGGAGCGGCAGUGCUUGUAUCUCGACCGUUGCUCCGUCAAUCUUCAGCUGUGUAGCGAGUCAUAUCAUUGAUGUGGUGUUCAUGAAACAUUGUACAGGGUUGAGUUGUAUAUACGAGGUAUAUUAAGGUGGGCAAAUUGACAAAAGAUCUGAGAAGCCAGCUGGGUUAGGCACAGUAGCAUCAUUUUCUUGAUCCUGAGUCUUGGCUUGAUUUGGCAUGCUAAGAUCUGCAGUUGAUUGCUGUACCAUUUAGCCUUGCCCGAAGUUGGUUAUGAUUUCUUUCACCUGCUGGUUCUGCAUCCUUCCCGUGGGUAUCUAUUUUCGGAGAGAAAAUGGGCGGUACUCGGUGGAUAGAAGCCUAGUUAAAAGUCUGAAAAUGAGUCAUUGUUGUUGUUAUUCUUGAGUCUGGCAUGGGCCAUCAUUGUUGUAAAUGGAAGUACAUUUUUUCUCUGCUGAGUACAAUAUGAGCACGUAUAGCUCGCAGAACA